GACGUAGGGGGCCAGCGUUGCUCGGAAUUACUGGGCGUAAAGGGUUCGUAGGCGGUGUGGCAAGUCGGUAGUGAAAUCUCCAGGCUUAACUUGGAGGCUGCUGCCGAAACUGCCGUGCUAGAGUACGGGAGAGGCGAGUGGAAUUACAGGUGUAGCGGUGAAAUGCGUAGAUAUCUGGAGGAACACCGGUGGCGAAGGCGGCAUCCUGGACCAACACUGACACUGAGGAGCGAAAGCCAGGGGAGCAAACGGG
rnacentral:rRNA from 1 species